GAGAUAACUUGGCAGAGGUCCCUCCAAAUGGUUUCCCAAGCAUCAAUACACUGGCUGGAUAACUUCUUUCUGGGCCUGUUGCCUGGGGUUAGGGAAUCCAGAUGUCUGGGGCCACAAAAACCAGAUGGAUUUUCCCAGCCAUGGAUUCCCAGUGCUUGGCCUCUGUAGAUCAACAGAGUGAUGUUGUAAGGGGUGUGGGUAGCCAGGAAGGAAUGUCAGCUUGCUCUUUUGGUCACCCCGGAGAAGACUCUUGCUCAGGGACAGAUGGAGCCUCACUCAUUGGGAUGAGCCAGGACCCUGGUCAGUGGGCACAGUUACAGGUGCCGAGGAGUCUUAGAACUGUCCAAGCAGAACAGAGCUAAAAGGGACCCUGUAGUUUGGUUAUUCUGGUAACUUCUCUUUAUGGCUGAAUAAAGAUCAAAAUGGGUAAUGAA